AAUCAACGCUGGCGGCGCGCCUAACACAUGCAAGUCGAACGAGAAAGGUCCUUCGGGACUGAGUAAGUGGCGCACGGGUGAGUAACACGUGGAUACCUACCCUCUGGUGGGGAAUGAACUCUGGGAAACCGGGGCUAAUACCGCAUAAGUCCGAGAGGAGAAAGCGUAAAGCGCUGGAGGAGGGGUCCGCGGCCGAUUAGCUAGUUGGUGGGGUAAAGGCUCACCAAGGCAAAGAUCGGUAGCCGGCCUGAGAGGGCACACGGCCACACUGGCACUGAAACACGGGCCAGACUCCUACGGGAGGCAGCAGUGGGGAAUCUUGCACAAUGGAGGAAACUCUGAUGCAGCGACGCCGCGUGAGCGAUGAAGCCUUUCGGGGUGUAAAGCUCUUACGCCAGGGGACGAUAGUGACGGUACCUGGAGAAGCAGCUGCGGCUAACUACGUGCCAGCAUCCGCGGUAAUACGUAGGCAGCAAGCGUUGUUCGGAAUUACUGGGCGUAAAGGGUGCGUAGGCGGUGUUCUAAGUUUGGUGUGAAAAUCUCCCCGGGCUCAACUGGGAGGGUGCGCCGAAAACUGGAGUACUUAAGUGCGGGAGAGGAAAGCGGAAUUCCUGGUGUAGCGGUGAAAUGCGUAGAGAUCAGGAGGAACACCUGCGGUGUAGACGGCUUUCUGGACCGUAACUGACGCUGAGGCACGAAAGCGUGGGGAGCAAACAGGAUUAAAUA
rnacentral:rRNA from 1 species